CUCGCUUCCUACACGAGCUCUGUGUGAGAGCGUCUCUCUCGGCUGGUGUCUGUCUCUGACUGUGAGGAUUCGGAUGAUGAUGGUAAUGAUGAAGGAGAGAGUUGUAUAGACGGGCCGUGCACCUCCAAACCACAAGAGAGCAUCUGCGGUUUGUCCCAACUCUGACUGCAAUAAAAGACAAACCCAUCCAAUGACUCCCUCAAGAUUUGAACAUCUGAGACUGAGAACUUCUUCUGAGAAUCUUCUGGGCUAUGAAAGAGCAACAUCAGAGGCCUUAUUUUCCAGCAAUCUUUAGCAUUCACCUCUUCAUUUUGACGCAUAAAGAUUAAGGCAGGUUGAUAAGAUAAGACAGUUUCGAAGGCCACAGUAGAUUUCACAGCUACUUCCCAGAAACUAAAUGCAAAUCCAGAUCUCAGGAGAUAAAAGCAGACCCGGCACGAAUACAGACAAAGAAAGUGAAGGUAUGAUAGCAUGUGAUGGAAUAUUUAAACUGAGAUCAUGACUGCUUAUGAUUUUGACAAUUAAUAAAUUCUAGAAAGAGAUACAACUGAGACAGAGGGUGACAUAGGAACAUUGAGUCACAAUAAAGCGUUCAAAGAGGAUUCUGCUGGAUACGAAUCAAUUCAGAGAGGCACGGAAGAUUGAAGACAAUCUGAGGAAAACAUAAUAUCACAGUCAUUCAUAGACAAAAGCUUUGAGUUUUUGGCUCAUCUGAUGAGGAAUGAAGCAUGUGAGAGACUUUGAGCGUGCGAAAUUCGUUCGGACGGUGCUGCAAAAAUGGGCGAGAGCGAUUCCUCCAUCUUUUACAUUUCUGUACCGAGAGGUCACGUUGUGACGUUUUGGUCUUCUAUUGGUCUCACGUGAAAUGAAUUUGCAGGUCAGAGUUCACCAAACUUGAACUUUGCUACACAGCGAAAUAUCUUCGGACGGUCUUGCGUUUCCGGUCUGUCGCAUUCGCAUGUGUAUGAAUGGAAGUCAAUGGAGCAAAAAGGCAAGUGUGACCGGGGCCUUAGUUUUGUAUAAAUGUUUCUGAUAAAGGAAUAACGUUAUAGUUUCUCUUCUGUUAUGGAUGGAACAUUUUUCAGUGUCUUCUAUGACAUACAGGCUACAUUUAUUGAUUAGCUGAGAGAAAAUGAAAUGAAUAUCUGUCACCUCGGCUAAAAAUGUACAGUUUUUGUUAUUAGAUUUAAUAACUCUGUUUGUAUGAAGCUCUUCUCGUAAAAUCUUAAUCAAUUGGAGACAUUUGUGUUUUAUUUACAGGAAUAAUCAUGUUUCAAACCACAGAAAGAGAAAAUUACAGUACAGCUUAACCACAAAUGAAUAAAACAUGAUUUUAUAUGGAAUACUUCAAUAUUCAUUUAUAUCA